UCCCCGCCCGGCCGUGUGGGGAGGGAGCUCCGCGCUCCCCGGGGACGGCCCGGGCUCGGCUGGCGCCUGCCUGCCGCCGCACAGCCAGCGGGCCGCUUCGGUGGCCGUGACAGAACAAAGGCAUGUGUGUUGUGCCUGCCCCCGCCGCCGUCGGCAGCGGGAGAGCGCUAGUUGUGCUGAAAUGCGGGGGUUGCCCCGGAACGCACCGAAGAUGAAUGCGUGAGGUAGAAAUCACUCAGCUGUGAUCAUCUGAUUGGAGGCUCUCGCUGGGGACUAAAAGUCAAUGAGAGUCUGCAUUGCACCUCAGAAGUGUCUGCUUUUCACUGGCAGUGACUGCAGAAGAGCCCUGCAGGACUGAUGUUUUGAAGCUGUGCCUGCUGACCCAUGGAAGACCAGCUAAAAUGCCUGAACUCCGCUUCCCAGUUUUGCUCAAGCAAGAAGGGAAAUGUAGGAAUUCUUCUCUUCAGAAAGGGGAAGAAGAGAGGAGAGAAAUAAGGGAACGGAACGAAUUUCUCUAGCACAUUGGAAGACGAGCAGAGGCGAGCACAAGCGGUAAGGGCUGUGCCUUAGCCCUCUCCUCACCCCGCUGUCCCCUCCUCUCCGCAGCCUCCCGUGCUCCAGGUACGCGCUGCUCCCAGCGCCAGCCUCCGCCUCCCGCCCCUUCUGCCCAGCGGCGGGGCCAGCCGCCCGCUCGUCUCCUCUCCUGCAAUGCUCCUUCCCCAGCUGCCUUUCCCCCUCUUCCCAAGGCACAGAGGCUGCAGCACGGCAAGGAGCUGGGGCUCCUAUUGCAAAGCCCCCAGCAACAACUGGGAAAGGCAACGGCGUGUGCGCGUACAUUUGCCAGAGAUUAGACUUCUUGGAAGGAAUCUGGACUUUAUCCCCCCCACCGCUGCCUCCUCGAUUAGCAGCUUGCAGCUUCCCGAGGUCAGCUCUCCUCAGAUUUGAACCCAGGUACCAGCCUGGGGCUCCAGAGGACUGAGCUCCAGCAAACUCUACAGCCACCCAUGGGUAAUCACACAGUAUGUGAGUGCCUGACUCUCCUCUUAUUCUGCUUCUUCUACACACCCAAAAGAAUUACUGAUAUAAAUGGCUCUAACAUCAGUUCUCCAAGACACUGCAUUUUUCCCACCAAUCAGGUACUGUUCCCAAGAUCCGGCCUGUAGUUUUGUGGUACUGCAG